rnacentral:tRNA from 1 species
ACCAGUGUGGUGUAGUGGUUUGAGUGUUUGACUAUGACUCUGAAGAUGAGGGUUUGAUUCCCCUCUUGGCCA